rnacentral:rRNA from 1 species
AUUGAACGCUGGCGGCAGGCCUAACACAUGCAAGUCGAGCGGAUGAAGGGAGCUUGCUCCUGGAUUCAGCGGCGGACGGGUGAGUAAUGCCUAGGAAUCUGCCUGGUAGUGGGGGAUAACGUCCGGAAACGGGCGCUAAUACCGCAUACGUCCUGAGGGAGAAAGUGGGGGAUCUUCGGACCUCACGCUCUCAGAUGAGCCUAGGUCGGAUUAGCUAGUUGGUGGGGUAAAGGCCUACUAAGGCGACGAUCCGUAACUGGUCUGAGAGGAUGAUCAGUCACACUGGAACUGAGACGCGGUCCAGACUCCUACGGGAGGCAGCAGUGGGGAAUAUUGGACAAUGGGCGAAAGCCUGAUCCAGCCAUGCCGCGUGUGUGAAGAAGGUCUUCGGAUUGUAAAGCACUUUAAGUUGGUAGGAAGGGCAGUAAGUUAAUACCUUGCUGUUUUGACGUUACCAACAGAAUAAGCACCGGCUAACUUCGUG